rnacentral:misc_RNA from 1 species
UUUCCGUAGGUGAACCUGCGGAAGGAUCAUUAUUGUAUAACCGAGGUGCGAGGGCCGUCGCUGACCCGAAAGGUCGUGCACGCCCGAGUGCCCUCACACACAUCCAUCUCACCCCUAUGUGCACCACCGCGUGGGUCCCCCUUUGGCUUGUUCGGAGGGGGGCUUACGUUUUCACACAAACUUUGUAUGCAGUGUAGAAUGUAUUUUUUGUUUUUGCGAUCACGCAAUCAAUACAACUUUCAACAAUGGAUCUCUUGGCUCUC